AUCCAGCCAUACCGCGUCGGAUGAUGACGGUCGUUCGGGCUGUAAAGUCCAUUAGUUGGGAAAGGAAUGCAGGCUGCUAAUACCUGGCUGGGAUGACGGUACCCAAAGAAUAAGCACCGGCUACUUUCGUGCCAGCAGCCGCGGUAAUACGAAGGGUGCAAAGCGUUACUCGGAAUUUACUGGGCGUAAAGCGUGCGUAGGUGGUCGUUUAAGUCCGUUGUGAAAGCCCUGGGCUCAACCUGGGAACUGCAGUGGAUACUGGGCGACUAGAGUGUGGUAGAGGGUAGCGGAAUUCCUGGUGUAGCAGUGAAAUGCGUAGAGAUCAGGAGGAACAUCCAUGGCGAAGGCAGCUACCUGGACCAACACUGACACUGAGGCACGAAAGCGUGGGGAGCAAACAGGAUUAGAUACCCUGGUAGUCCACGCCCUAAACGAUGCGAACUGGAUGUUGGGUGCAAUUUGGCACGCAGUAUCGAAGCUAACGCGUUAAGUUCGCCGCCUGGGGAGUACGGUCGCAAGACUGAAACUCAAAGGAAUUGACGGGGGCCCGCACAAGCGGUGGGAGUAUGUGGGUUUAAUUUCGAUGCAACGCGAAGAAACCUUUACCCUGGGCCUUGACAUGUCGAGAACUUUUCCAGAGAAUGGAUGGGUGCCUUCGGGAACUCGAACACAGGUGCUGCAAUGGCUGUCCGUCAGGCUCGUGUCGUGCAGAUGUUGGGUUAAGUCCCGCAACGAGCGCAACCCUUGUCCUUAG
rnacentral:rRNA from 1 species